UUACAGCCAUAUCACGCUGUAACACCGGUUCCCGUAAGCAACACCAAAGUUAAGCAACGUCGAGCCUGUUCAGUACGUAAACAGGUGACCGCUUUGGAAUGCCAGGUGCA